GACAGAGGCCUCGAGCGUUAGGCGGAAUCACUGGGCUUAAAGCGUGUGUAGGCGGGCCCGUAAGUGUCUUGUGAAAUCCCACGGCUCAACCGUGGAACUGCUGGGCAUACUGCGGGUCUUGGGCCAACUAGGGGCAGCCGGAACAAGCGGUGGAGCGGUGAAAUGCGUAGAUAUCAUUUGGAACGCCAAUGGUGAAAACAGGUAGCUGGGAGUGUGCUGACGUUGAGACACGAAAGCCAGGGGAGCGAACGGG
rnacentral:rRNA from 1 species